GGGUGACCUAUCCAUGGCCAGGUUGAAGCGAGAGUAAAAUCUCGUGGAGGACCGAACCACGUUGGUGUUGAAAAACCAUGGGAUGAGCUGUGGAUAGCGGAGAAAUUCCAAUCGAACUCGGAGAUAGCUGGUUCUCCUCGAAAUAGCUUUAGGGCUAGCGUCGUGUAAUUGAGUAAUGGAGGUAGAGCACUGAAUGGGCUAGGGGCUAUAGUAGUUACCGAACCCUAUCAAACUCCGAAUGCCAUAUACUUGUAUCACGGCAGUCAGACUGCGAAUGAUAAGAUCCGUAGUCAAAAAGGGAAACAGCCCAGACCAUCAGCUAAGGUCCCAAAGUGUAAGUUAAGUGGAAAAGGAUGUGGGAUUUCUAAGACAAACUAGGAUGUUGGCUUAGAAGCAGCCACUCAUUUAAAGAGUGCGUAAUAGCUCACUAGUCAAGAGAUCCUGCGCCGAAGAUGUCCGGGGCUCAAACUUACCACCGAAGCUAUGGGUGUACACUAUGUGUACGCGGUAGAGGAGCUUUCUGUAUGGGUUGAAGUCGUACCGUAAGGAGCGGUGGA
rnacentral:rRNA from 1 species